rnacentral:rRNA from 1 species
GUUCCAGACUCCUACGGGAGGCAGCAGUGGGGAAUAUUGCACAAUGGGGGGAACCCUGAUGCAGCGACGCCGCGUGGGUGAAGGAGUACUUCGGUACGUAAAGCCCUAUCAGCAGGAAAGAAAAUGACGGUACCUGACUAAGAAGCCCCGGCUAACUACGUGCCAGCAGCCGCGGUAAUACGUAUGGAGCAAGCGUUAUCCGGAUUUACUGGGUGUAAAGGGAGCGUAGGCGGCCUGCCAAGUCUGAUGUGAAAUACCGGGGCUCAACCCCGGGGCUGCAUUGGAAACUGGCAGGCUGGAGUGUCGGAGAGGCAGGCGGAAUUCCUAGUGUAGCGGUGAAAUGCGUAGAUAUUAGGAGGAACACCAGUGGCGAAGGCGGCCUGCUGGACGAUGACUGACGCUGAGGCUCGAAAGCGUGGGGAGCAAACAGGAUUAGAUACCCGGGUAC